rnacentral:snRNA from 1 species
UGCGCAGUAAGCACAAAGCGAACUAUUCUUUCGCCUUUUACUAAAGAAUACCAAUCAUAAGUUUAUUUCUUUGUGCCCAACAAAUUGCUUCAGAGAUUGAGUUGAUUUAGCCC